GCCACGGUAGCUCAGCUGGCAGAGCGUUGCCUUGGUAAGGCAAAGGUCCCGGGUUCAAAUCCCGGCCGUGGCU
rfam:Archaeoglobus profundus DSM 5631, complete genome.